AACCUAGCACACCUGCGGUGUGUACCUGCGGAGGGAUCAUUACACAUAUUACGGGGGGUCGGUCACCCAGAGCGUCGCCUCUUAGCACCUCUGGGCCCUGCCCUGUCUGAAUAUUCUACCCAUGUCUUUUGCGCACUCUUCGUUUCCUCGGUGGGCUUGCCUGCCGAUAGGACACUAUAAAACCUUUUUGUAAUUGCAAUCAGCGUCAGAAAAACUUUUAAUAGUUACAACUUUCAGCAA
rnacentral:misc_RNA from 1 species